rnacentral:rRNA from 1 species
AUUGAAUGCUGGCGGCAGGCCUAACACAUGCAAGUCGAGCGAGCGGCGGACGGGUGAGUAAUGUCUGGGAAACUGCCUGAUGGAGGGGGAUAACUACUGGAAACGGUAGCUAAUACCGCAUACCAUCAGAUCUGCCCAGGUGGGAUUUGCUAGUAGGUGGGGUAACGGCGCACCUAGGCAACGAUCCCUAGCUGGUCUUAGAGGAUGACCAGCCACACUUGAACUUGUACACGGUCCAGACUCCUACGGGAGGCAGCAGUGGGGAAUAUUGCACAAUGGGCGCAAGCCUGAUGCAGCCAUGCCGCGUGUGUGAAGAAGGCCUUCGGGUUGUAAAGCACUUUCAGCGGGGAGGCGUUACCCGCAGAAGAAGCACCGGCUAACUCCGUGCCAGCAGCCGCGGUAAUUC